ACAACUCAAAGGAUGACACCUACAUACCCAAUACUGAAAAGUCAUGUUGAAAAUUACUAAACAUGCAUCACCAUCUGAUUGAAUUUU